rnacentral:lncRNA from 1 species
CCAGAACGAGUGAUGUAGUGAGCGGAAAUCAUCCUCGCCCAUCCCUGCCAUUCUGAUGGCAGCAAAUCCAUUAGCCGCUCCAUUCCGUCAUAGUCCGAUAUCCCAUGGUCUCUUGCAGCGACCCAGUGUCGAUGGAAGCCGGCCAAGAAUUGGCCUAAGUCAUCACCGUGGCAUUGGCGAUAAGUAAAAUAUGAGUUCCUGAUAGCAUCCGGACUAGCAUCUCGACGCAACGGCCGUCGUCUGGUAAAGCGCAUCCUUGCCAUCUAUACAUGAAGGUCGCAUAAUCAAACUCACGAAUAUCAAAAUAGGUGGCAAAAACAGUAGGGUUCAAACAUAUCUACAACAGUAAGGUAAUAAUUCUACUUGAGGUCUCGAAAUUCAAACCACGGUAUUAUAAUCAUAAUAGCCUAACACUAGACUCGAAUAUAAUUCGUGAAGUCUUAAAUAUGCUGCAACUAGUACUAACUAGGUUUUUGAAAAGAGAUAACUCCGCUAUGUUGCAGUUUCCAAACUAUGUAGGGUAUUCUUAUUACUAUGAAAAGUGUUCCCACUAUACUCUGAUUAAGGCAAUAGUUGAUUCGGUAUCCGCCUCGCGUGAAUAAUCCGAACGAAGAUCUAUGCCCGUGUCACUAUCUCGUGUGUGACACUUUUCUUUACUCCCCAUUGUAUUUUGUUUGUUGAUUUCUCGUCUGGUUCACUAACUUUGUAACUUACUCAUCGCCUCAAUUUACAGAGAAAAGCAAAAAUGUUCUUGCUAAAUUCCUUCUAUUGUUGUGUUCAUAACAGUGAUCAUGCAUCCUUAGCGCAUCUAAGUUCAUUGAGUAACAUCUCCAUAAAAAGGCAUAAGUAAAAUCAACAUUUGCAUCAAGGCGAAAUAUAAACUUCAACAUUCAAAACUUUCUGUUGCAUUCCUUUCUGUUGAGCAUAGCGAUGUGAUGAAGUGCUGAGCUUUUGCCGACUGACUCUUUCAUACUAGUGAUCAUACUAGAAAAAUUUAUUAACUCUAGGGUUCAGAGCAAAUAACUGCUCUGAUACCACUCUGUCACGACCGGACCUAAUUAAGGAUAAUUAAGCCGGGGAAAUCGUGACUAAUGGAGGGAGAUUAGAAGCGGGGUAGAAAGGGGAUAAUCAAACAAGGAAGGAUCGCAUUUCAUCAUUUAACAAAAGGGAUAUUUAUAAUAUAACAGAAGUUUAGUCGUAUAGACUCAAAUAACUAGUAAGUUCAGAUAUCUCUGACUUAGCCAAAUAAACAUAAAACUUCUGAGUACGCAGCGGAAUAUGAUUCUGAUUACAUGUAUGAAGACAUGUAACCCUAGAGUUCAUUAAUACAUAAUAAGACAAAAGAAUCCCGCUCGUCACUUCAUCACCAUCGGCAGCUGCUCAACCUGCACAUUUAGAAAUAUAUGCAGGGCUUGAGUACAAAAGUACUCAGUGGGCACGUAUGCCUAAGUAUAAAAUACAUGCUUCAAAACUGUAAAUUGUCAUGCCAUAAUUAAACAGUACAGCAAGGGAGUUUUUCGCUAAAAGGCCCAAGCUUACUAAAUUCAUUUGUGAUUCUUAAAGUUCGACUGCAGUCUAAGUUCUCUUGUAAUCUAUCAUAUCUGGAACUUUGUGCCGGAGAGGUGGCCACCUCUCACGGUCACUUGACCGGCCAACCCGCUAGAUGACUCACGGUCACUGGUGUACACUAGCCCUGGCAGGAUAGCUAUCAACUGCUCAAGACCCGAAUUCGAUUACAUGAUAAAAGUCACAUCAGAUAGAUAUCAUACUGAAAUUUAAAUAUUUUAUGGCAAGACAAUAUUUGAAAUAACUUCAAUUAAUUUAGUCAUGAAAUAACUUGCUUGAACGUAAUAUUUAAACUCAUUUGAUAUAUAUGAAAGUAAUGCCCACCUGUUAGAAACUUUUUGUGGUACAGUAGCUCCUUGACUGAUUAUUA